GGGAUUCUUACCCGUAUCCACCAUGUUGGUAGGAAAAGGGUGUUGAUCAAUCUUCAUAGGUUUAGCCGGUUUUGCCGGCACUUCAAAUUUGAGUCUGCCUUGCUCAAUGGCCGACUGUAUUUGUUGCCUGAAGAUUUUGCACUCGUUGGUAUCAUGUGAUGUGGCGUUAUGCCACUUGCAAUACUUCAUCUUCUUCAAUUGUUCGGCAGAGGGUAUCGUGUGGUAAGGCGAGAGUUUAAUUUGUCCUUCCUGGAGUAGAAGAUCGAAUAUUUUGUCAGCUUUAGUUGUAUCGAAACCAAAUGCUUCCGGCUCCUUUUUGCCGAACGGGCAUGAUAUCGGCUUCUUUCCUUUAAUCCACUCUGCAAGUCCGAUGUCGGCGUCUUCCUCGUCCUCUAAUUCUUCCAGGAACGCCACUUUCUU
rnacentral:lncRNA from 1 species